rnacentral:rRNA from 1 species
UGGUAGCGAUAGCGAAGAGGUCACACCUGUUCUCAUGCCGAACACAGAAGUUAAGUUCUUCAGCGCCGAUGGUAGUUGGGGGCUUCCCCCUGCGAGAGUAGGACGCCGCCAGGCU